CCGUGGAUUUCCACGGCUCGUCUGAAAUGCCUGAGUGUACCCCAUUUUGCGGCGUAUUCGGUGUGAUACAUCUUCACCGGAGUUGAUCCUUUCGGGUCGCGUCAGUAUGAGUGUGGCUCUAUGCUUCCAACCGUCCCUUUAUAAGGACAAUCUCUUGACAAUUUGACCUCAAAUCGGGUGGGACUACCCGCUGAACUUAA
rnacentral:misc_RNA from 1 species